GUAGGUGGCAAGCGUUGUCCGGAAUUAUUGGGCGUAAAGCGCGCGCAGGGCGGUCCUUUAAGUUUGAUGUGAAAGCCCGCGGGCUCAACCGUGGAGGGUCAUUAGAAACUGGGGGACUUGAGUACAGAAGAGGAAAGCGGAAUUCCAAGUGUAGCGGUGAAAUGCGUAGAGAUUUGGAGGAACACCAGUGGCGAAGGCGGCUUUCUGGUCUGUAACUGACGCUGAGGCGCGAAAGCGUGGGGAGCAAACAGGAUUAGAUACCCUGGUAGUCCACGCCGUAAACGAUGAGUGCUAAGUGUUAGGGGGUUUCCGCCCCUUAGUGCUGCAGCUAACGCAUUAAGCACUCCGCCUGGGGAGUACGGCCGCAAAGGCUG
rnacentral:rRNA from 1 species